rnacentral:lncRNA from 1 species
AGGGGUCUAGCUCGAGCUUGUUGAGCUUCGGUGUGAAAAUCUCAACAAGUUCAAAACGGAGCUUUUUAAUGAGGGUUUUGGAGUGAUUUUUCCAGAGUAACGGUGCAGAAAGUCGAUCUUUUAUGAAGUAUUGCUUUGAUGUGUGCUCUAGGUUUUUAGAAGGAAAAUCUUGUUGUGCAUAUGUCGUUGUUGUUGUUUAUAUUUUUUUUU